rnacentral:misc_RNA from 1 species
UUGAAAAAAAAAAUUUAUUUGGAUUUUUGUCCAUUUAUUUAAUCCGGUGAACUUGUUAUUCUUUUAGAUUUCUGCUUGGCAGUGUUUCUUACGAGGCCUGCCAUCAGUUAUCGAUAUUAUACCCUUUUUUUUAUCAAGAAGUCUGAAUUACUAUAAUAAUAAAAAUGAA